AUUGAACGCUGGCGGCAGGCCUAACACAUGCAAGUCGAGCGGAUGAAGGGAGCUUGCUCCUGGAUUCAGCGGCGGACGGGUGAGUAAUGCCUAGGAAUCUGCCUGGUAGUGGGGGAUAACGUCCGGAAACGGGCGCUAAUACCGCAUACGUACUGAGGGUGAAAGUGGGGGAGCUUCGGAGCAAACGCUAUCAGAUGAGCCUAGGUCGGAUUAGCUAGUUCGUGGGGUAAAGGCCUACCAAGGCGACGAUCCGUAACUGGUCUGAGAGGAUGAUCAGUCACACUGGAACUGAGACACGGUCCAGACUCCUACGGGAGGCAGCAGUGGGGAAUAUUGGACAAUGGGCGAAAGCCUGAUCCAGCCAUGCCGCGUGUGUGAAGAAGGUCUUCGGAUUGUAAAGCACUUUAAGUUGGGAGGAAGGGCAGUAAGUUAAUACCUUGCUGUUUUGACGUUACCAACAGAAUAAGCACCGGCUAACUUCGUG
rnacentral:rRNA from 1 species